GCUGACCAGCUAGCCCACCCUAACAAAAACAACAACCCAAUAUAAAUAACCCCAAACACACUACUCCUCCUAUAAACAAACCAUUUUACCCCCCUAGUAUGGGCGACAGAAAAGGAACUAUUGGAGCGAUAGAGAAAGUACCGCAAGGGAACGCUGAAAGAGAAAUGAAAUAACCCAGUAAAGCCUAAAAAAGCAGAGAUUUUACCUCGUACCUUUUGCAUCAUGAUUUAGCUAGUACUACCCAAGCAAAGAGAACUUUAGUUUGGACCCCCGAAACUAGGUGAGCUACUCCAAGACAGCCUAUCAAUAGGGCAAACCCGUCUCUGUGGCAAAAGAGUGGGAAGAGCUUUGAGUAGAGGUGACAGACCUACCGAACCUAGUUAUAGCUGGUUGCCUGAGAAUUGGAUAGGAGUUCAGCCUCCAGGCUUCUCUAUUCACCGCGGUCUUACCCCUACCGAUGCACUAAAGAAGCCUAGAGAGUUAAUCAAAGGGGGUACAGCCCCUUUGAGACAAGAUACAACUUUUCCAGGAGGGUAAAGAUCAUAUUUACCCAAGGUAACAAUGCCCAGGUGGGCCUAAAAGCAGCCAUCCUUACAGAAAGCGUUAAAGCUCAAGCAUUACACCUUCCCACAUAUUCAGAUAACCACAUCCCAACCCCCUAAUAUUAUCAGGCCAUCUCAUGCAUACAUGAGAGUGCACAUGCUAAUAUGAGUAACAAGAGAGCCUCCGCCUCUCUCCUUGCACACGUGUAAAUCGGAACGAACCCCCACCGAAACUUAACGGCCCCAAACAAAGAGGGCAAUGAACAACAAGUAAGCAACCAGAAAACCAUCCAAAAAACAACCGUUAACCCCACACUGGUGUGCCAUUAAGGAAAGACUAAAAGAAAAAGAAGGAACUCGGCAAACAUACCAAGCCUCGCCUGUUUACCAAAAACAUCGCCUCUUGCAAAAACAAAGAAUAAGAGGUCCAGCCUGCCCUGUGACUAUAUGUUUAACGGCCGCGGUAUUUUAACCGUGCGAAGGUAGCGCAAUCACUUGUCUUUUAAAUGGAGACCUGUAUGAAUGGCAUUACGAGGGCUUAACUGUCUCCUUUUUCUAGUCAGUGAAAUUGAUCUCCCCGUGCAGAAGCGGGGAUAUAACCAUAAGACGAGAAGACCCUAUGGAGCUUUAGACACCAAGGCAUAUCAUGUCAAACACCCCUAAACAAAGGACUAAACCAAAUGAAUCAUACCCCCAUGUCUUUGGUUGGGGCGACCGCGGGGAAAUAAAAAACCCCCACGUGGAAUGGGAGUACUACCUCCUACAACCAAGAGCUGCAGCUCUAAAAAACAGAAUAUCUGACCAAUAAGAUCCGGCAACGCCGAUCAACGGACCGAGUUACCCUAGGGAUAACAGCGCAAUCCCCUUUUAGAGCCCAUAUCGACAAGGGGGUUUACGACCUCGAUGUUGGAUCAGGACAUCCUAAUGGUGCAGCCGCUGUUAAGGGUUCGUUUGUUCAACGAUUAAAGUCCUACGUGAUCUGAGUUCAGACCGGAGUAAUCCAGGUCAGUUUCUAUCUAUGAUAUGUUCUUUUCUAGUACGAAAGGACCGAAGAGAAGAGGCCAAUGCUAAAAGCACGCCUCACCCCUCCUAUUGAAAACAACUAAAAUAGGCAAAAGGGCAUACCCCUCCACGCCCAAGAUAAUGGCAU
rnacentral:rRNA from 1 species